AUGGAAGUUACCAUGGGUGAUGUCGACGACCAAAUGGUGUUGACGAUCGACAAGCAAGCUGAAAAGUGGGAAGCCAUGGAGCAGGAACAACAUGUGUGGAAUGCUAUCGAUGAGGAACGGAAAUUAGAAAGGCAGAAGGAAAAACGAAGGCAUAAGGAGAGAAAGAAAAGCCUGGAAGAGAAGAGGAAAGAGAAGAGAGAAGAGAAGAGGAAGAAGCAAGAGAAGAAGAGGAAAAACCAGGAGGAGGAGGAGGAGUUGCAGGGGAAGAGGAAACAUGCUCGUUCAAUGAACUGUUCUGAAUUUGUUCAAGGAGCUACAACAGAGGGGCUACAGAGACAAGAUUCUCCACCUAUGACACAUAGUCAAAGAGCGACAAGAUCAUCAUUGGUAAGGUCACCGGUGGCGAGCACGUGGAGAUCUUCCCUUGGUCUUCUAGCAAGAGUUGCAGCCUCAAAAAGGGGCAGGUCUCCCUCAACGAGGAUUGCAAGUUCCCCAUUGGAGGAGAGGGCAAAUUCGUCCACGAGAUCACCAUCUAUCUUAGGAUCCCCUUCUCCAGUGACUACUCCAUUUGGAGGCUCAAAAAUUAAUCAUCCACAUGUCCGCAAGACAAGAAGGCUAACUUCUGCUGUUUGGAGGGAUUUCAAACCAAUUUAUCGUCAUAAGAUACUUGUCAAAGCUCAGUGCAAGCACUGUCAUGAAGUGUUUCAAGCUGGACGAGAUGUUGGCACAAGUGGUGUAAGAAGACACUUGGCUGCUUGCGAAAAAAGAAAUACUAUUAAAGAUGAGUGCAUGAAACACUAUAAUUUGGAGAGGUCGGCGUUCUCUGGACAUUUGAAGAAAUACAAUGGUAGAGUUUCUUUAACAGCGGACAUGUGGACAUCUAAUCAGACUUUGUCCUAUCUAUGCAUCACUUGCCAUUUGAUCAACAACAAGUGGAUUUUGCAAAAGAGGAUCUUUAGAUUUUUUAUGGUGGAGACUCCACAUAACAGAGUAACAAUGUUUAAUGUCUUAUUAAAGAGUUUGCAGGAGUGUAAUAUUGAGGACAAACUCUUUAGUAUGACAUUGGAUAAUGCAUCAGUUAAUGGUACAAUGGUCAAUAAUCUUAGAAAAAAUCUGAACAGCAAGCAUAUGUUGCCUAUUAAAGGUCAAUUACUUCAUAUCCGUUGUGCAUGCCAUGUGAUAAAUUUGAUUGUCCAAGAUGGGUUGACAACGAUGAAAGGUGUGAUAGAUGAUAUCAGAGAGAGUGUGAAGUACAUUAAGAGUUCUCCCUCUCGGUUGGACAAGUUCAAAGAAGUAGUUGCGCAAGUUGGUAUCUCUUGCAAACUCCCCUCGGCUGAUGUGCCAACACGUUGGAACUCCACCUAUAUUAUGUUGGAGUCAGCGCUCCCCUUUCGAAGAGCCUUUCGUGCUUUGGUGCAAAAGGACCCAGAUUAUGUGUUUUGCCCAUCCUCAGGAGAGUGGAAAAAUGCUGAUACAGUUUGUGCUAUGUUAAAAGUUUUUCACACAGCCACAAAUGUACUUUCUGGUUCAAGUUAUUCUACCUCAAAUUUGUACUUUCAUCAAAUCUGGAAUGUGAGGUUACUGCUGCAGAAGGAAGCUUCAACAAAGGAUGAAGUCGUUCAAGCAAUGGUUGGAGAGAUGCAAAAAAAGUUUGAUAAGUAUUGGAUGGAAUCAUAUUUGCCAAACUGUAUUCCUGUGAUCCUUGAUCCGCGAUUUAAACUUUGCUUCAUCGAGUUUCGACUAAAACAAGCUUUUGGUCCAGAUGUAGAAAGACACUUGCUUGCAGUGAAAGAAGUUCUUGACAACCUUUUCGAAGAAUAUUCUUCACAAAUGACGGAUGCAUUGGAUGAGUCAGCACCCCGAAAAUUUUUUGAUGAGGUUGUGAAUGAAGAGAAUGAUCCGUUGGCGGAUUGGGACCAACACUUGAAUAAGAAGCAACGCCAAACUGCUAGUGAGCUUGCCAGAUACUUAGAAGAAGACACAUUCACUCGCACGGAGGAUUUCAACAUUCUUCAAUGGUGGCAUCUUCACUCGUCUAAGUAUCCCAUCCUUUCUUGUAUAGCUCGUGAUGUUCUUGCUGUACAAGCUUCCGUCGAUCGUCAGAGUCAGCUUUCAGUACUGGAAAGCGUUUGA
rnacentral:rRNA from 1 species